rnacentral:hammerhead_ribozyme from 1 species
AUUCAGCUGACGAGUCCAAAAAUAAGACGAAAUGCGUAUCCUGAAU